AAUGGAGCAGAGACUGGAGCAGAGACAAGUUGUUCCCACUGAGCUCUCCUCAGAUUACAGAUUGGUGAUACAUCACAGGGGCUCAUGAAUGUGUCUUAAGCUGGGUCAUUGAAGUGGAAUGUUUUCACAAGACCUCCUCCACUUGCUACUGUGUCCGGAAUUGGUGGGUUCUUGGUCUCACUGACUUCAAGAAUGAAGCCGCGGACCCUCGCGGGAGUGGCAAAUCAAAGGCAUUGCAGCCUCUUUCAUCACUGCCGAUUGCUGAUGCCAACCAUGUGCCAAGUGCUUAAUACGUCACCUUAAAUCUUCUCAUCCACCCUCAGAGUAGCUGCAGCAUCAACCCAGUGCCCUGACUUUCAAGACGACUAUGAAAACACCCCAACUGCUGCUAAAUUACCAGCAACAAGGAUCUGGAAUUUUCCUGACAAGAGCAGUGCCUAUCCUGAGGCAAUCGUAUUUCUCCUUGACUUCUCUCCAGUAUCAGCUUGUUGCUUGACACCCCUGCACAGCCAACUGUGUAAUGUGGGUGAGUCUAGCUGCAUUUUCUUCAGACACAAGCCUGGCUACCCAGUGCUAAGGUGACAUCAGGCCAGGCCACAAUGGCCGGUUUGACACAAAUUAGAACAACCUUGAUAGCUGUCAACUGGAGACUAUCUGAGAACAAAAGGACAUUAUUGCAAACCAGCACUGGAGUUUGCAGCAUCACAGAAAAUGAUGCUCUCUCCUGCCAAGUCCCAUUUUUUGGGAGGAGGAAAUGGAUUAGGUCCUGGAGGUUGUCAUAAAUGCAUCAAGUGACUUUCUCAGCAUCAUCUGAAACAAUUGAAGAUCCUAAAAAAAUGAUAGCAGCUUUUAAGAAGGACUAUAGUGGAACAAGCAAUAUUCUAAGUGACAAGAGACACAGAUUCUAGAAUAAACUUAGCCAAAUAUGUAUGAACUCGAACAAUCUCCUUUGCCUCUCCAGGUUUUAAUUUCCCCAUCUUUACAAUGGAAGCAAUGACAACAGCAGCAUGCAGCUAGUUUGGAGAUUUUGAAGUCAGAUUGGCUAUUUAGCAUUAACCCACCAUGGUGCUGGUUGAUCUUGCUAGAUACAAAUCUGUCAUAAGUGAAAGCAUCUUGACGGUGUCUUGGAAGCUGACUGGAAAAAUACUGCUUUUAGCAGUACCUUUAAAGCAACAGGAGCUUUUCUGCAUUGCAUAGAGACAGAAUGAGCUUUGUGUAAACUGUGCUGUAGCCACGUUAUUCUGAAAGCCCAUUGGGAAGAUGCCAAUAGUAAUUCAGCUCAAAUAAUCUCUAUUAGCCAUAACCCUUUUGGUUGCAAGAGACAAAAACAUGACUGAAAUUAUUUUCGGCUAGAAGGAUCGAGGAGACUUGCAGCAUAGCUUUGAGAACAGCUGAAAUUAAAGACAUGAAUGCU
rnacentral:lncRNA from 1 species